GCUAGCGUGGCCAAGUGGUUGGCCAGCCUUCCCUUAUACCUCAACAAAAUGUCAGUCCCGGUGGAGGAGACGCGGGUUCGAGUCCCGGCGGAUGCA